CUUAUAUUUUCGGAAGACAAAGGUUUGGUAGUGUUUUUUGUAUGAAAUUGUGAGUUCAAAAGUAGGCUGGUCAAGCAGCAACGAUGACAUUUCAAACUUAAAGUCGGAGUCACUUUUGUGGAGAUAACUCUUUUAAACCCCCUCAGAGUUUUACAUGCUAUUUUCUUGUAAUAUUAUUGCUUUGGUGCUAUUGGCUGCUAUGCUGACUGGGCUUCUCAGUUCAGAGAUUGCGUUUUUGCUUUGGCAUGAUUAUUGGUUUUCUUUUAAUUUAACAUAUAAAAGUCUUAUUUGAUUGACAGUAGCUUAUCAUCGAUUCAGCAAAGCACGUAUGUUUUCGCAUUUGCAAGUUUGGUAAUGAAAUUCCCCUUGCUACUCUCUUUCUCGAGCAUAGAGUGCCAAGCCUUUUUUUCAUGUCUCGCCUACGGCCUAUGCAUUCAUAUCUUACCCGUACUUAUUGCACAUACACCCGAACCCCCCACCCACAAACUAUAAAAAAAUAUUCGUUCAAUCUUCUUGUGGUAGGGGUCUAUCAUACAAUUCCACAGACAAGUAUGUUUGACACGACAGGUGUUGGAUACUUCGACACAUGAUUUUUUUAAAAAGUACUGAUUCGA
rnacentral:lncRNA from 1 species